AGAACUCUCAGGCUGUGGGGUGGAGAGAAGGCCAUUCUGAGGUCAACUGAAACCUCACUUGAGGGGCAGUUCCAUAGAUGGGAAUGAGGAGAGAGUCAUGGCCACAGCCACCUUGCCAAGGAGAGAGGCCAUAACUGCCAGACAGAACCGAGGAUGGAGGGGCUUCAGCAGCAUGAACAAUCCACACUCAGCAUGGGUCACUCUCUGGGACACACAUUUCCCCCUGGCUGAAAGGCUGAGCUGCUCCAGGGCCAACUGUGAGGUCAGACAGCUGCCCAGGGAUGUCUCCGGCCACUCAAGGGAAGAAGAGACCACUCACCUGUAAUUUCAACAGCAACAAAAGACCUGAGGUUCCACCAUCAGAACUUCACGCCCUAAGGAAGAUGCAGCAUUUCCUGUAAAAUGCAAGUGCUCCCAGGCAGAGGUAGCUCCUGAAGACAUGAUCAGUUAUGUAUACCUUAGUGGCAGCUGAUUAAUAGACCCUUCCCAAGAGCCAGCUGACAGGAAGCACAUCGGGGUAAAAGGGAAGAUGAAAACUUGGGUGCCCGGAGGAAGGGAACAAAUGCGAGCAGGAGCAUGGUAAUAACAUAGAAACCCUGGGCCCCUUCCCCAGCUGUCAUGAAGGUGCCUGAGUGAUGGUCAGAGAGAUGACUGGAGGGGCCCACCCGGCCACCGCAGCAGCAGCAGCCAAGGCGGGACUAAGCCUCCACACCCCACAUCUCAUUCGUGGCCAGCCCGGGAUGCCUGCCUCUCCUGCCCUGUGGUGUUGCUGUCCUCAUAUGACCCUUCAGUCCCCCGACAUGUGAGUCUCCUGGGGACUCAGACCUGCAGCUCCUCACUCAGUUCCUGCCUUGGCACCCCUCCCACCAAAAAGUCUUCUCCACAGGCCCUGGCUUGCUGCCCUCCCCCCAGACAUCCCCUGGUCUCCCCCAGCCUCCCCACCUCUAAACUCAUCAUUUGUGUUCUUCCUCCACAUGGCUACCAAAGUCAUCUUUCAUUUUUAAUUUUUAUUUAACCAAAAUAUCAUAUAAGCACAUUAUUUUCAAAAAUAGUGCUACAAAUUCAGGAACGCAAACUAGGAAUAUAAAUAAACUUUCUUUUUUCUCUCUUUCUCUCCUUCCUUCCUUCCUUUCCUUCCUUCCUUCCUCCCUCUCUCUCUUUCUUCCUGUCUCUCGUUCUUCCUCUCUUUCUUCCUCUCUCUUUUUCUUUCUUUCUUCCUUUUCCUUUCUUUCUUUUUCUUUCUUUCUCUUUCUUUCCUUCCUUCCUUCCUUCAUUCCUCCCUUCUCUUUCUUUCUUUCCUCCUUUCUUCUUUCUCUCUCUCUUUCUUUUAUUCUUUCUUUAUUCAAAGUCUUGCUCUGUUGCCCAGGCUAGAGUGCAUUGAUAAAAUCAGAGCUCACUGUAGCCUUGAUUUCCUGGACUCAAGUGAUCCUCCUGCCUCAGCCUUCCUAGAAGCUGGGACCACAGGAGUGUGCCACCAUGCCUGGCUAAUUUAAAAAAAUUUUUUUAGAGACGGGGUCUCACUAUGUUGUCCAGGCUGGUCUUGAACUCCUAGGCUCAAGCAAUCCUUCCACCUUGGCCUCCCAAAGUGCUGAGAUUACAGGCAUGAGCCAUCACACCCGGCCAGAAAUAAACUUUAUUAAGCUGAUAAAAGGGUACCUACAAAAAUCCUACCGCAGAUGUGAUACUUGGAGUACCAUGUGGAACGCUUUCCCUCUGAAAUCAAGAAUGAGACCAGCAUGGUUGCACUGCCACUUUUAUUCAUCACUGCACAGCAGGUCUUAAUCAGUGACAUAAGCAAGAACAGACAAAAAGAUAUGCAGGGGCCAGAACACAUUUUCUAAAUUCCUAAUAUUGUAAAAACAUUUUUAAUUGUUUUAUUGCUUAAAAAAUAAUAUAAACUACCUCAAAUCCUUAGAAGGAGCAAGGUAGAUGUGGAAAUUAAAGAUGCCACCAAUUAUUUGCUACUGCACUGAGUCAA